rnacentral:lncRNA from 1 species
GGCUUGUUGCUGCCGGUGUUGAUUCUGAAGGAGGAGACGACAAUGGUGGCGACGGUGUAGUAGCCGGAGCGAAGGGGGAAGGUGGGUAUGAUGGAGGGAUGGUGGAUGGAUAGGGUGAUAGGGAAGGUGGGGAAGGUGGGGAUGAAGAUGAUGGAGGUUGGGUGACAGGGGAAUUGGAAUUUGGAGUUGGGGCAUAGGGGUAGGGUGAUUGAGAUGUUGGGGAAGGAGUGUUUGGAGGUGACGGAAUGUAGGGAGGUUGGGAAAUGGGAGAAGGAGUGGUGGAUGGUGGUGUGGAAAUGUAAGAAGGUGGCUGGGAUAUUGGGGAAGGAGUGGUGGAUGGUGGUGUGGAAAUGUAAGGUGGCUGGGAUAUUGGGGAAGGAGUGGUGUUUGGAGGUGAUGGGAUGUAAGGAGGCUGAGAUAUUGGGGAAGGAGUGUUUGGAGGUGAUGGGGUGUAAGGAGGCUGGGAAGUAGGAGAAGGAGUAUUGGGUUGUGGAGGCACAUAAGGUGACUGAGAAAAGGGUGAUGGGGUUAUUGGAACAAAGGGUGGUUGAUGAUGAGGGGAAGGGGUGUUUGGAGGUAGAGGAGCAUGGGGUGGAUGGUUAUUAGGGGAAGGAGCAUAAGUGGGAGAAGGUGUGUUGGGAGGUAUGGGAGCAUAGGGUGGUUGAGCUUUGGGAGGAAAGGGAAGAUUAGUAGGAGGUGAAGGUGCUUCUGGAGGAGUAUAAACAGGGGGAGGAGUUUGAUGAGGUGGAUAAGGAGCUUUUGGAGGAGAAUAUGGAGGAG